rnacentral:sRNA from 12 species
AAUGAGACUUCCGCGACAGCGGUCCGCCGAUUGUGCGGAAUAUGGAGGUCCGGGCUGAAAAAUAUGCCCGCGACGCCAUAU